rnacentral:lncRNA from 1 species
AAACAGCAUCAUCAGUGUCUCAAAUUGUCAAAUGACUGGGAGGAAAACCCUUGGCCCAGGAGAGAUCACGGAAGGCUGGUCACAAACCAAGCCAGAUGUUGACUUUCUUAAGACCAGCGAAUAGAGACAGGAGUUUCUUUUAUACUUAGAGAAACCAGAGAGUUUCACGGUAGCGUAACAACACGAGUGGUAAGAGUUGUCUAUCAGAAAUACAAAGCCAGACCCAUUGCUCUCUGAAGAAGCCACACAUUUCCUAGAAGAUCCAGCCUUGGCUACUCUUCCACUUAGUAUCCACAGCUACUAGAUACGCUACCUCACACCUGUAACCCAGAUGUCAUAGGUCUCAGGCUGGGUACUCAGUCUUUGCCUUGCACCUUAAGACUGAACUUUGAUGCAUUGCUGAAAUAAAUUUAACUCCACAAUGAGAAAUAAAAUGUUUAAUCAAAUUUAAUGGGGAAUUAUUGAAGAGAGGUGCAUGUACAUCACAGAGGAGAAGCCUAUCUGGCCACCUCCGUGAUCCCCCCAUUAUCCAUUAAUGUUCUUCUCCUAGUCUCAGCUCCCCACUUCUCUCCUUUCUCCUGGAAAUUCCCAUCUAUGCAGCCUCUGGCCACUCUGGAUCCACUCUGCCUCCUGCCUCUCAGCCACACAGUAUGCCCAUUCUUCUGUGGCAUCAUUUAUCUCCCUCUGGUUUUCUCCACUGUGAAUCCUCACACAUAUCACUUAACUUAGUAAGCAAGUCUCCAUCUGUCUUGAAAAAAAGAAGAAAAUGGAUGAUGGAAUGGAAGAAAGAGAACUAAAGGAGAGCCAUCAAAUCAGACAAAAGCUAUCUGUCUCUUUGGAGAGACAACCUCUGGGCUCAUCCACUGCAUUACAUUCUUAGAGCUUGUAGAAGAGCGGUCAUUAAAUAUUUUCAAGGCUACAGACUCCUUCAAGAAUUGAUAAAAGCUAUAGAACUUCUUUCCACAAAAAUGCAUGUAUUGCACACUGAAUGUCUGCAUGCAGUCCUUGAGGGGAGGACCUCUGAGGCCUAUCUCUGAGUCUGCAGUGUCCAUGAGCCCAUGUCAGGAAUUCCUGCAACACACAUUAUGUGAUUUUAAAAUACUUAAAUGAAAGUUUUUUCCAGUGUCCUCCAGAAGCAAAUUCCAUUAAACAAGCCAAUGUGUAUAAUAU